rnacentral:lncRNA from 1 species
CCGUGCUCAAUAUGUCAGAAAAACUACGAAAAGGAAACGAGGCAUGCUGCGCUUCUGUGUGGUGCAACAACUCAGGAAGGAACAGCACAGCGAAAUUUUUCCGCUUCCCAGCGGACGACAGGUGUGACGUAUGGCGGAAUGACGCGCCCCAAAAGGGGAGACCUGGUGGGGACUGGCAUGAAAGCAAAUGUACAACGGCUACCACAUCUACUCGGACUACUUCACCGAAUGUGCUUACGCCGACCCUGCCAGAAUGCGGCUGUUUUUGACGGCUGCUCCCGCUGUUGCAGUGGAAGUGGUGUCCCUGAUCGAUGAAGUACCCUCCCGG